rnacentral:rRNA from 1 species
GUAGGGGGCAAGCGUUGUUCGGAUUUAUUGGGCGUAAAGAGCGUGGAGGCGGCCAGGUAGGUGGGUUGUGAAAACUGGAGGCUCAACCUUCAGACGUCGACCCAAACCCCCUGGCUAGAGUCCGGAAGAGGAGAGUGGAAUUCCUGGUGUAGCGGUGAAAUGCGCAGAUAUCAGGAAGAACACCCGUGGCGAAGGCGGCUCUCUGGGACGGUACUGACGCUGAGACGCGAAAGCGUGGGGAGCGAACAGGAUUAGAUACCCUGGUAGUCCACGCCGUAAACGAUGGGUGCUAGGUGGUGGGGGGGUGUCGACUCCCCCCGUGCCGAAGCUAACGCAUUAAGCACCCCGCCUGGGGAGUACGGCCGCAAGGCUA